GACGAACGCUGGCGGCGUGCCUAAUACAUGCAAGUAGAACGCUGAAGGAGGAGCUUGCUUCUCUGGAUGAGUUGCGAACGGGUGAGUAACGCGUAGGUAACCUGCCUGGUAGCGGGGGAUAACUAUUGGAAACGAUAGCUAAUACCGCAUAAGAGUAGAUGUUGCAUGACAUUUGCUUAAAAGGUGCAAUUGCAUCACUACCAGAUGGACCUGCGUUGUAUUAGCUAGUUGGUGGGGGAACGGCUCACCAAGGCGACGAUACAUAGCCGACCUGAGAGGGUGAUCGGCCACACUGGGACUGAGACACGGCCCAGACUCCUACGGGAGGCAGCAGUAGGGAAUCUUCGGCAAUGGACGGAAGUCUGACCGAGCAACGCCGCGUGAGCGAAGAAGGUUUUCGGAUCGUAAAGCUCUGUUGUAAGAGAAGAACGAGUGUGAGAGUGGAAAGUUCACACUGUGACGGUAUCUUACCAGAAAGGGACGGCUAACUACGUGCCAGCAGCCGCGGUAAUACGUAGGUGGCAAGCGUUAUCCGGAUUUAUUGGGCGUAAAGAGAGUGCAGGCGGUUUUCUAAGUCUGAUGUGAAAGCCUUCGGCUUAACCGGAGAAGUGCAUCGGAAACUGGAUAACUUGAGUGCAGAAGAGGGUAGUGGAACUCCAUGUGUAGCGGUGGAAUGCGUAGAUAUAUGGAAGAACACCAAUAGGCGAAGGCAGCUAACUGGUUAUAUAUUGACACUAAGGGACGAAAGCGUGGGGAGCAAACAGG
rnacentral:rRNA from 1 species